CCUACGGGAGGCAGCAGUGAGGAAUAUUGGUCAAUGGACGAGAGUCUGAACCAGCCAAGUAGCGUGAAGGAUGACUGCCCUAUGGGUUGUAAACUUCUUUUAUAUGGGAAUAAAAUGUUCCACGUGUGGGAUUUUGUAUGUACCAUAUGAAUAAGGAUCGGCUAACUCCGUGCCAGCAGCCGCGGUAAUACGGGGGAUCCGAGCGUUAUCCGGAUUUAUUGGGUUUAAAGGGAGCGUAGGUGGAUUGUUAAGUCAGUUGUGAAAGUUUGCGGCUCAACCGUAAAAUUGCAGUUGAAACUGGCAGUCUUGAGUACAGUAGAGGUGGGCGGAAUUCGUGGUGGAGCGGUGAAAUGCUUAGAUAGCACGAAGAACGCCGAUUGCGAAGGCAGUUCACUGGACUGCAACUGACACUGAGGUUCGAAAGUGUGGGUAUCAAACAGGAGUAGAUACCCCAGUAGUC
rnacentral:rRNA from 1 species